rnacentral:pre_miRNA from 1 species
AAUAUACUCCCUCCGUUCGGAAAUACUUGUCAUCAAAAUAAAUAAAAGAGGAUGUAUCUAGAUGUAUUUUAGUUCUAGAUACAUCCAUUUUUGUUCAUUUUGAUGACAAGUAUUUUCGGACGGAGGGAGUACACC